UACGUAGGGGGCAAGCGUUGUCCGGAUUUACUGGGCGUAAAGAGCGUGUAGGCGGCCACGCAUGUCCGUUGUGAAAACUGGAGGCUCAACCUCCAGCUGUCGACGGAAACCGUGUGGCUAGAGUCCGGAAGAGGAGAGUGGAAUUCCUGGUGUAGCGGUGAAAUGCGCAGAUAUCAGGAAGAACACCAAUGGCGAAGGCAGCUCUCUGGGACGGUACUGACGCUGAGACGCGAAAGCGUGGGGAGCGAACAGG
rnacentral:rRNA from 1 species